rnacentral:rRNA from 1 species
UACGUAGGGGGCUAGCGUUGUCCGGAAUCAUUGGGCGUAAAGCGCGCGUAGGCGGCCCGGUAAGUCCGUUGUGAAAGUCAAAGGCUCAACCUUUGAAAGCCGAUGGAUACUGCCGGGCUGGAGUCCGGAAGAGGCGAGUGGAAUUCCUGGUGUAGCGGUGGAAUGCGCAGAUAUCAGGAGGAACACCAAUGGCGAAGGCAGCUCGCUGGAACGGUACUGACGCUGAGGCGCGAAAGCGUGGGGAGCGAACAGG